AAAUAAAAAUGUUUAUCAUCAUCAUUAUCGCUACCAUCAUCAUCAUCAUCAUCAUUAUUAAUGAUUAUUACACAUAUCGGAAAAGUAUGUGCCCCCCUUUUUUUAUCUGUAUGAUGUGAUGUGCAUAAUUUAUAUAUUUAUUAUUAAAUGGAAUGGACAACAUCAAAAGUCAAUUUAGAGGGCAAAUAUUUCAAUAAUAACAAAAUUGUGAAAGAAGAAAGAAAGAGAAAUACAAGUAAAAUGAAAAAUGUGUGUGUGUGUGUGUGUGAUUGGCUACCAUUAUUGUCAAGAAAGGGGAAUCAAAAUUCAAAAAAUCAAUGCACUGAUUUUCCGGUUUUUUUUCCAAUGAAAUUCUUUCACAAUGUUUUCAUCGUAAAAGAAUAACAAACUCAAUCAAUAUAUUCAACAUAAUUGAGUGGUAUGAGACCAGUUUUUCCAUUCAAUGUGCCCUCAAGCCAGCCUGGUUCCCGUGAUGGUCGAACUGAUGUGUUGAUGAAAUGAAAGCAAAAAAAAAAAAAAAAUCAUUAAUGAAAAAGAAUAAAUUAAAAAAACGAUUGAAUUGAAA